rnacentral:rRNA from 1 species
AUACAGAGGGUGCAAGCGUUAAUCGGAUUUACUGGGCGUAAAGCGCGCGUAGGUGGCUAAUUAAGUCAAAUGUGAAAUCCCCGAGCUUAACUUGGGAAUUGCAUUCGAUACUGGUUAGCUAGAGUAUGGGAGAGGAUGGUAGAAUUCCAGGUGUAGCGGUGAAAUGCGUAGAGAUCUGGAGGAAUACCGAUGGCGAAGGCAGCCAUCUGGCCUAAUACUGACACUGAGGUGCGAAAGCAUGGGGAGCAAACAGGAUUAGAUACCCGGGUAGUCCAUGCCGUAAACGAUGUCUACUAGCCGUUGGGGCCCUUGAGGCUUUAGUGGCGCAGCUAACGCGAUAAGUAGACCGCCUGGGGAGUACGGUCGCAAGACUAAAACUCAAAUGAAUUGACGGGG